GAUCUCCUUCUGAUAGACGUUCUAUAUCUGGAUAUUGUGUCUUAGUAGGAGGAAAUUUAGUGUCAUGGAAGAGCAAGAAACAGAAUGUGACUGCUCGGUCUAGUGCAGAAGCAGAAUAUCGAGCGAUUGCAAUGGUAACAUGUGAGCUAAUUUGGAUCAAACAACUGCUCAAGGAGUUAGAAAUUUGGUGAGAUUAGUUAGAUAGGACUUGUGUGUGAUAAUCAAGUUGUUCUUCAUAUUGCAUCAAAUCCAGUGUUCCAUGAGAGAACUAAACAUAUUGAGAUUGACUGUCACUUUGUUAGAGAAAAGAUACUCUCGGGAGAUAUCCAGUGUUCCAUGAGAGAACUAAACACAUUGACAUUGACUGUCACUUUGUUAGAGAAAAGAUACUCUAGGGAGAUAUUGCUACAAAGUUUGUAAUCUCGAAAGAUCAGCUUACAGAUAUUUUCACCAAGUCCCUCACUGGUCCUCGUAUUAACUACAUAUGUAACAAGGUCAAUACAUAUGAUUUGUACCAGCUUAAGGGGCAGUGUUAGAAUAAUAGUGUAAAUAAGAGUGAAUAACCCUAAUCCAAUAUGUAUUAGGAGUAGGAUAUGUAAUGUGUGUACAUAUAGGGCUCAAUGUAGCAUUGUAAAUAAUAUAUCAAUAAUAUUUUUCUCCUGCGCGUUCUCAUAUAAUUUAUAAAGCAUUUAUUAAUGAGUUUCUGGACAAACACGAUUGGAAUACAUUUCCCUAUUGACAUGACUUUUAUGUGUAUAAAAUGAGUCUUAAAUCAUGAUAUCUACAUAGGAACUGGACUACUAAUUUUUAAACAGAAAUGAC
rnacentral:lncRNA from 1 species